UACAGGGGGGGCAAGCGUUGUUCGGAAUUACUGGGCGUAAAGGGCCAGUAGGCGGCCAACUAAGUCACACGUGAAAUCCCCAGGCUUAACCUGGGAACUGCGUGUGAUACUGGAUGGCUUGAAUUCGGGAGAGGGAUGCAGAAUUCCAGGUGUAGCGGUGAAAUGCGCAGAUAUCAGGAGGAACACCGGUGGCGAAGGCGGGUCUCUGGACAGUUCCUGACACUGAGACACGAAGGCCAGGGGAGCAAACGGG
rnacentral:rRNA from 1 species